rnacentral:lncRNA from 1 species
CCAAGAAAUGAUAUGCAAUCUCUACUGGACCAGGAAGUAAUUACUUUCCGGUUUAAUUGAACUCUUUAGUUCUUCUCUUCCUUAUUUGAUCUGAUUUGACUUUCUUAUUUUAUGGCUACAUUAAGCUAUUAGCUGCUAAAGUUUCUUCUUCUUUCUUCUUCUUCUUCUUCUUCUUCUUCUUCUCUCUCCAAUUCCAGCUGCAGAAGUCUUGCUUGAUGAGAGAUUAGUGGAUUUCUAUCGAAGUUUGGGAUCAGGAUGUGAUGUUUCUACUUCCCCCGUGUUGCUUCAAUUAAAACAGUUCCUUCUUCUCCAAGCCUGCAUCACAUGUCACUCUUGGAUUCCAAAGAAAAAGAAGAACAUGGGUAUAAGGAGGCAUUUGAAGUGUCAGGUUUCAGCACACUAGAUGGAGAUAUGAAUGUACUUACUUAUUUCAUACCCUCCCCUUUUCCUGUGUUCUGUAAGCCAAACAAAAAACAGAAUCCUAUUAGUUACACCCAAUGGUAUAACACAAUUGGAGUAAAUCUCAGCUGUGAGUUGCUGGGAAUGAAGACAUUAGUUUGGGCAUCUGGUGUUGUAUACCACUUGUGUGACUCAGUGCACAACAGCAUAUGCCUAUCUUGACUCUUUAUCUUGCAGCAGUUUGCAGCUAAAAUUCACACCAGUGGAGUUAUGCUGACAUUGCUUUUCAACUGGACUCCAGAUGUACAGUAUGCAACUAAGAGCAUGACCAUAUUGACAAAAAAUGUGGGAAAUGUUGCAGGAUCGGGACAGUCUCAUUCACAUCCCCCCCCCCCAUUGUGACUUUUCAACUGGGUUCCAGACAUACGCAACUAAAAAAUGUAGGAAAUGUUGCAGGAUUGGGACAAUCUCAUUCACAUCCCCCCCCCCAUUGUGACCCUAUGAUGUAAAAGCCAAUGUGAAUCAGCCUAGAGUCCCCCCUGCUUCAAUUCAUAGCUUGAACUGAUGGCAAUCAAUGUGAUCCUCCAUGUUUCCCUCUGGAAAAAAUAUGCCUUAAAAAAACAGUUUGAUGCCAGUGUUGCUAGGGCAGCAAGAAAGGGGGGAAAAAAGAAGAAGAGCGAGAAGAGGAAACAAGAUAAGGAAACUGCCACUCUGCCCUUGCUUACAUCCUAUUAAAUAGAUGUUCUGUAGCUGCACCUUCUGCAGAACUAUAGGAGAGCUCUGUUAAACUGCAAACAAGUCUUUUUAGCCAAUUUCCUCCUCUCCCUAGGUGAUCAGUGGACCCAGGAAAACCUGAAUAUCCAGUGUGACAUCACAGCAAAUAAAUUUGAAUUUCUUUCUCUGCA